UUAAAUAUUUGGCAUACUCUCCGAAAGGUGAGGACGCAAAGCUAUAGGGUCUAAAUAAUUUUAUUAUAUGACAGCCAGUUGCGAAU
rnacentral:ncRNA from 1 species